rnacentral:misc_RNA from 1 species
CGCACAUUGCGCCCAUUAGUAUUCUAGUGGGCAUGCCUGUUCGAGCGUCAUUUCAACCCUUAAGCCCCCGUUGCUUAGCGUUAGGAGCCUACAGCCUUCUGUAGCUCCCUAAAGUUAGUGGCAGAGUCGGUUUGCACUCUAGACGUAGUAAUUUCUAUCUCGUCUGCAGUUAGGCCGGUCUCUCGCCGUAAAACCCCCCCAAUUUUUAAAGGUUGACCUCGGAUCAGGUAGGAAUACCCGCUGAACUUAA